AUUGGGGUUGUUAUGGGACCCCCCUUGAUAAUUCGUUUUAGAUUAAGACUGGUCUGGCAAGGCCCAACUUUAUUACUACAUUUGCCUAAUAACCUAAUAGUAAUGCAUACGGACCCGCCGACACCCGCGGAUAAUUAAUCAACCCCCCGGGCGAGUGCUCCGCAUGAGUGUUGGUCCAAACUGGCAGACUACGGGGCCACCGCGGGGCAACCCAAGGUUUGGUUUCUCCUGCUGUGACCCAUCCGUCGUGUCCUGAGAACGAGAUACGCGGCUCCUAUCGGGUUCGUCGACACGUCGGGCGGCCUUGCUGGAUUAGUGUUACCUUUGACGAAAUAUCUUGCAUUGGGAUUCCGGUGAUGCUUUGGGUAAUCUCAGAGUUGAGGUUUUCCACUAAGGAAUUUGACGUGAUCGCGAGUUUUGUGAUCGAUUAUUUCUAUGCGGCUUGUGGUAAUUUGUGAUGGACUAGUUGGAGCACCCCUGCAAGGUUAAAUCUUUUCGGAAAGCUUUGCCCGCGGUAAUGUGGCAACGUGGAAACUUUGUUUAACACUGGUUCUAGAUAACUUGAAGUUAACUUAAUUAAAAUAUGCCAACUGAGUGCGUAACCGUGACUGUCUCUUUCGUGAGUUCCUUCUCCGGUCGAGGACACGGUGGGGUUAUGUUUGACGUAAGUAGGUGUUCAGGAUCAUUCAUUUGAUCACCAGUAGUUCACGUCUGCUAUGCGUAGAUCUUCCUCCUCUUUAUUCUUGUACUCGUAAGUUAGCCACUAAAUAAAUGCUUAGUCGCGUGCUGCAGCCUCACCACUUAACCUUACCUCAACCAUUAAGCUUUGCUAGUCUUGAUACCUUUGGAAAUGUGAUUGCCGAGUCCCCUGUGGCUCACGGAUUACUACAACACCAGUUGCAGGUACAGGUAAAGGUUACUUGACGCGAGCGCAUUGAUUGUUCAUUUGGAGUUUCUUCUUCUACUUCAUCGAUCUAGGAUGGGUUCCAGGCCGGCAGCCUGAUAUAGCAAGGAUGGACGUCAUUAUUUUCUCGUUUGUUUUCGCCCAUAGUCGGACCCUGCUCUUCUUCUUGAUAUUUAUGUAUUGUACUGAUGUGACUCUGAUGUAGUUUGUGGCGAGUGUAAGCCAAUUCCAUGUAUCUCAUCUUAUCAGUACAUGUACUCGUAACGAUAUCCAUUCUUGCGAAAUGACGAGAUGCGCU
rnacentral:lncRNA from 1 species